rfam:Astyanax mexicanus chromosome 18, whole genome shotgun sequence.
AACUUCUAUGUCUGUAAGUCGCUUCGGAUAGAAGCAUCUGCCAAAUGUAAUGUA